rnacentral:rRNA from 1 species
GAUGAACGCUGGCGGCGUGCUUAACACAUGCAAGUCGAACGGAAAGGCCAGUGCUUGCACUGGUACUCGAGUGGCGAACGGGUGAGUAACACGUGGGUGAUCUGCCCUGUACUUCGGGAUAAGCUUGGGAAACUGGGUCUAAUACCGGAUAGGACAACUUUUUGGAUAUUGUUGUGGAAAGCUUUUGCGGUAUGGGAUGAGCUCGCGGCCUAUCAGCUUGUUGGUGGGGUAAUGGCCUACCAAGGCGUCGACGGGUAGCCGGCCUGAGAGGGUGUACGGCCACAUUGGGACUGAGAUACGGCCCAGACUCCGACGGGAGGCAGCAGUGGGGAAUAUUGCACAAUGGGCGCAAGCCUGAUGCAGCGACGCCGCGUGGGGGAUGAAGGCCUUCGGGUUGUAAACUCCUUUCGCUAGGGACGAAGCUUUUUUGUGACGGUACCUGGAGAAGAAGCACCGGCUAACUACGUG